rnacentral:tRNA from 1 species
GCCAUUGUAGUAUAGUGGUUAGAGUGUUGGACUAGGAUCCGAGAGGCCCGGGUUCGAAUUCCCGCUCCGCCAUGGAA